GAUUAAGGCUUAAUUGUUGUUAUUGUUGUAAUUUGCUUUGGAAUUACAAGGCACAUGUAAUUCAAGCAUAUCUCUUAUUUUAUGAUGCGUAAAUUACAACAAAGUCCUUGAGGUUUAACAAAACUCUCUUAUUAGUCCCUUGUGUAAGUUUGGUAACGAUUUGGUGCUUUAAUUUUAUUUCAUUAAAAAUUUGGUCAUCACAUUUUACUUCUAUUAACAAAUUGAUCAUCAAAAGUCAUUGGUUAUAGGGACCAAUUUGUUAAUAGAAGUAAACUAUGAGGACCAAAGUAUUAAUGAAAAUAAAAUUUAAGGAUCAAAUCGUUACCAAACUAACACAAGGGAUUAAUCUGUAAGUUCUGUUAAACCUUAGGAACUUCAUUGUAAUUUAC
rnacentral:misc_RNA from 1 species